AAAAAAAAAAAAAAAAGAAAAAGGGCAAGGCAAGGAGGUGAAUAAAGGCGCGAAAUUUCAAACCAGAAUCGUUGGAAGUUCUCAGAAAAUCGGAAGAGAGAGAAGAGCGAGAAUGGAGGGGUCUGGAGCGAUACUCUGCCAGAUCUCUUCCCUGAAGGAAAUGCUUGACCAGGUGAACGAGGAAAUGGAGGCGAAUAUCCAGAUAACGAGGGAGAUCGAGUCGGAGAUAGUGAAAUGCUCGGAAUUCGAAAAAGCUCUGGCCGUCAGAGAAUCGGAGCUCACCAAGACACUUUACAUCUCUCAGUUCGAGAUCAUCGGCUUGCUCUCCGUCACCGAUGGCUCAAGGAAAUCAGUGAAAGUAUUGGAGGAGGAAUUGUGUAAUCUAAGAAGGAAGCGAGAUGAGACUUUAACGAGGAUCAAUGAAAAGCGAGAAGAGUUUAUCACACUUUGUCUAGAAUUCGAGAAAGAGAUUGACAAAGGUAACGAUGAUGAACUACGAGCUUUGUUAUCAGAGAAAGAGUUUCUUGAGGACGAAAUUCUCCUAUUGGAGAAGAAGAACAACACAUUAAAGAAUUCAAUGCUGGCUUUUGUGGAAGAAAUUCUGGAAGAUCUGCAUACUUGCAACUCUGCAUUACAAUUCGAGGUGCGUAAUGGAUGUCAAGAAAACCAGAAACUGCUGAAGGAUAUUGCUGGUUUGAAAACUAGAUUGCUUUCAUCCAUCAUAAUUGAUGAUGAUCUGAGUGUAGUAGCUCUACAACUUCAUACAUCAAGCAAUCAUUUCCAGGAAAAAUUGUGAGAAAGCAACCCCAAGUGUACCCCAAGUGUGGUCACAAAACAUCAAGAACCUACCGCUGUACAAAAAAGAUAAAGGAAGAAAACGUCUUGGAUCGAGAUGCACAUAGCUUUAUAGAACAGGGACAGGCGGUAGAAAAAAAAGGCUCUCUUUGUGGAAAAGGAAGACCAAAACCCAAAAAAAGGUGAUAUUCUAACGAAAAAGAAUAUGUGGCUUAAAACCAUGUGAUUUAACUAUGGUUGUCUUGAGUGCCACGGACCAUGACCAUGUCUGUCUUGUGAUCUUCACGUGCACUCUUGGCCACGUCCGUACCAUACAGCUAUGUGUUUACUAUUAUAAAUUGUUAUUAUUGUUGAUUGAUCUAAGUAUAUUAUUUGUAUUAUUUCAUAUUAGCACCGUGAAAUCCCAUGUGACUCAUCUAGUUCAUGUGCAGUGAGGUGGGGCCCUUUGUUAGAGAUUUUUCUUUUUAUCUUUUUGGUCUGAUUUUGUUCAAUAGAAUCCAUAUUGGCUUUUGAAUAUGCUGCUUAUAACUUUUCCAAACGUCAGGGGUUCAAAAUUGUCAACUAAGACACGUGAUGUGGUUUACCGAUGUUUUUAUAGGACAUUUUGCCAUAUUUUGGUUACUUUUAUGACUAAUUAUUUAUUAUUCCUGUUGAUUAGAUUACUAACCAA